AACUUUUAUCUUCUAAAUCCAAGAUUUCUUGUGCUUCUCUCUGGGACAGUAAGGAAGAGGACCAUGAGAGAAAUAUCUAAGAACUAUUCUCUAGGAAAAGGAGGCUGAAACAAGUUCAUGUUUAGAAACAGUUUGGACAAAUACCUCUUCGAUUCACCAGCAUAUGAGAAGGAAGUACAGUGCAAUCAAGCUUAUUAUAUAGCCCAUCUCCAUAAAGAGUCUCCACAUCUUUUUUACAUCGUGAUGACCAAAAUCCUUUUGCGCUUCUGAAGAGACCAGGUAUACAGUCCUCUUGCAGCCUAAGCCAAAAUGGCAACUGACAACAGUUUCCAGAGAUCAAAAACGAAAGGAUAUACUUGCAGUAGCUAAAAUGAAUCAGUAGGAAAUCUGGGGAUCCCUUUGUCAUCAACUAUAGUGUCAACCUAAAUUGGAUCCACGACCAAAAUUUUGUCCAGAGAAGAGGAAGAACACUAUUUUAAAAUUGAAAUACUUAAGAAUAACUUCAAGCCACCUCAUCUCUGAGUUAGAUAGAUGAAGUGAGGGCAUGGUAUAAAUAGUUUCUGGAGCACA